rnacentral:rRNA from 1 species
AGAGCUUGCUCUUUUGCUGACGAGUGGCGCACGGGUGCGUAACGCGUAUACAAUCUACCUUUUACAGGGGGAUAGCCUUUAGAAAUGAAGAUUAAUAUCCCAUAGUAAGUACUUAUGGCAUCGUAAGAACUUUAAAGUUUCGGCGGUAAAAGAUGAGUAUGCGUUCUAUUAGCUAGAUGGUGUGGUAACGGCACACCAUGGCAACGAUAGAUAGGGGCCCUGAGAGGGGGAUCCCCCACACUGGUACUGAGACACGGACCAGACUCCUACGGGAGGCAGCAGUGAGGAAUAUUGGACAAUGGGCGAGAGCCUGAUCCAGCCAUGCCGCGUGCAGGAAGACUGCCCUAUGGGUUGUAAACUGCUUUUAUACGGGAAGAAACCCACCUACGUGUAGGUGGCUGACGGUACCGUAAGAAUAAGGAUCGGCUAACUCCGUGCCAGCAGCCGCGGUAAUACGGAGGAUCCAAGCGUUAUCCGGAAUCAUUGGGUUUAAAGGGUCCGUAGGUGGAUAAUUAAGUCAGGGGUGAAAGUCUGCAGCUCAACUGUAGAAUUGCCUUUGAUACUGGUUAUCUUGAAUUAUUAUGAAGUAGUUAGAAUAUGUAGUGUAGCGGUGAAAUGCAUAGAUAUUACAUAGAAUACCAAUUGCGAAGGCAGAUUACUAAUAAUCAAUUGACACUGAUGGACGAAAGCGUGGGGAGCGAACAGGAUUAGAUACCCUGGUAGUCCACGCCGUAAACGAUGGAUACUAGCUGUUCGGACUUCGGUCUGAGUGGCUAAGCGAAAGUGAUAAGUAUCCCACCUGGGGAGUACGUUCGCAAGAAUGAAACUCAAAGGAAUUGACGGGGGCCCGCACAAGCGGUGGAGCAUGUGGUUAAUUUCGAUGAUACGCGAGGAACCUUACCAGGGCUUAAAUGUAGAUGCAUUAGGUAGAGAUACUUAUUUUC